CAACUUAUCCAACUCUCAACAUGGUAUCAGAGCAUCAGGCUCUGCACCGACCACUAUCUCUCCAUCUCUGAACCCUCAUUUACCACCUUCCUCCAACAACCCCACAACCCCCAAGCUAACACAACGACCACCACAACCCAACCACCUAAUCAGGAAGUCUCCCAUGAUCCCAUCUUCCAGCAAAUCCGCAUCGUUUUGCCCACAUCAUACAACAUCAAUUCUCUCUUUCGAAAUCCCAUGAAUAAGAUAAACUAUAUCGGUUGGAAAUCGACCUCUCCCCGAUCAUCGACAAGCCUGGCCAAAAACCAGAGACAACUACCAGAGAAAGCAACUCCGAAUAUAAGAAGUGGGUCAAGUCAGACCAAUUGGUUCUCACCUGGAUAAGAUCCACGGUCUCUCCCUUUGUUCAUGUCAUGAUCCUUCACUGCGUCACCUCCAAGGAAGCAUGACUGCUACUCGAUUGCUUCCUCUCAUCGCUAUGUAGCAUUCACUUGAAAUCUCUCCGGACGAAAUUACGUGCUACCAAGAAGAAGGUUGACAUUACGAUGUCAGAGUACCUAAUGGAGGUACGAGCAACAGUUGACGCUCCGUGAGCUGUCGGUUCUUCCAUAGAGGAAGAAGAAAUUAUUGGCUACGUCGAGGAUGGGUUGGAUGAAACUUACGGAAACUUCCUUACACAUCUUCACUUCAACCCAACCACAUCCUUCGACGAAUUAGUCAGCCACCUUCUCCAAGAAGAAGAUUUACUGAAGAGAACAAGACCACCAGUAAACCCAAUAGCUUUCUCAGCUCAACAACACAACCCAACCACCACUACUCAACCGACGACAGGAAAUAUUGCAACGCCAAAUAACCAGUAACAGGGCAACUAUCACCAAAAUAAUUUUAGGGGAUGAUUCAGGGAGCGUGGUCGAUUCCGAAGAGGCCAGUUCAAUGGGGGACGUGACCGAGGACCAAAUCAAUACCCAAACUAUCACAGCUAUCCCCGCGCAUCAGUCUACAAUGCAACUCCACCCAACUACGUUACCCAGAGCACUUCUCGCCACCACUUCUCCCAACUCCAGCAUUAAUCGGAGAUCAAAUAUGUCAAAUUUGUAAUCAUGUCGGCCACACAGCACGGACCUACAACAAUCGUCGGAAUUUCGCCUACAAUACUCGUCUAAUCGGCGAUGACCUCAACUCAUUAUCGCUCAACAAUAACACGCCUUCAGUAGCCUCCGACAAUUCAUGGUGUCUCGACAGCGACGCAUUGAACUAUAUGACAUCGUCCCUCAACUCUUUCUCCGCCUCUCAACCUUACCAAGGUAAUGAUACCAUCAUGGUAGGUAACGGCUCACAAUUCCCCAUCCUAAGGCAGGGUACGAUUUCUCUCCCAACCUCUCUCGGCCGCAUCUCUGUCCCGAAUGUUCUCUAGGUACCCGUCCUACAUAAAAAAUUACUCUUAAUUCAUUCUCUAUCACAUGAUCUGAGCAUUGUUUUCUUUGAUGAUGUUGGGUUCACCGUCAAGACCAAGGACAUAGGGACUACUAUAAUGCAUGGCAGUAGCGGCCAAGGACUGUAUCACCUGGGCGAUUAAGAAACAGGCAUGCCUAGCAGCAAGCAAGCAUCCCCCUGUACGAGAGUAAACCCGGUGGUAUGGUAUACAUCAGGCACAACCGGUUCUAUCCAGUGUUUUAAAUGUUAUUUCCUCAAUUUCCGUUGAUCGUCGACCUUCGACUCUCCCCUUUUGUCAAGUCUGUUCUCUCAACAAAGCGAAGAAGCCAACAUUUCGUCAUCGCACUUACACAGCCAGAGAACCCUUGGAGAUCAUUCAUCUUGAUUUAUGGGGACCAACUCUAGUCAUCUCCAGGGAGGGAUUCAGAUACUAUAUAUGCUUGCAUAGUAGACGAUUUCUCAAGGUUCACCUGGUUCAUCCCACUCACUCUAAAAUCCGAAUUCUACUCAAAUUUUCUUAAUUUUUGUAAUUUUGUCGAACGAUCAUUCCCAUUUAAAAUCAAAACCAUUCAGUGUGAUGUUAGCGGUGAGUUUGUCAUCCACAACUUUCAAAAACAUUUGUUAAAGCUUGGAAUCCGACAACGGUUCUCCUGUCUGUACACACCUCAGUAGAACGACGUGGCUUAAAGAAAGCACGGACACAUCAGAGACGUUGGCCGAUGCUUUCUUCAUCAAACAUAUCACUUCCAUCAGAGUAUUGGGCAGACGUAUACUCGAGCGCCAUAUUCACGAUCAAUCACUUCCCAUCAACCACCACCUCCAACAAAUCACCCUAUGACCUUCUAUUCGAACGUACACCAGUCUACACGCUACAUCAUACAAUUAGGUGCCUAUGCUUCCCAAUCACACCCAAUUCACAGAGAACGAAGUUGCAAAACGUCUCCACCCGAUGUGUCUUCAUCGGCUACUCCUUUACACACAAAGGUUACAAGUGUAAGGACUUGUCGACUGGCAAAAUUACGGUCUCAAGGCACGUUCUCUUCGAUAAUAACACAUUUCCAUUCCAACAUACAACAACGAUAAACCCAAAACGAAGGACUGACACAGCCACAUUUCCGACAAUUGUCACCAAACUACUGCCUUCACCUACAAGGCUAUGCACGACGUGGGCGGACAACCCACAACAAUCAGAAAAUUACUGGCAAUCCUCAUCGGUUCACACACCAACAAACCAACAUCACUCAGAAGCAACAAAAGACGGUGAUUCAAAGAUCUGUCCGGAAGGCAGUCCCAAUUCCGGUACAAACACAAUUCAAAAAUCAAAUCUUCGUACCAACUCAGCCACUGAUCCGCCGGAUAUCAGUCAAGCAUACAACCCGAGAAAAAUCAGACAGAGCGGGAAGACCACCGACUUGACCGAAAGAUUACGACACAGGGUGCCAAAGCCGAACAAAGCGCCAAAAUCUGUCAGCUACAUUAAUGAAAUCAAAUGCAUUCGGGCUUCCCAACUACCGUGAAAUCGGGUCCCCCAAAUGCUAUUUGAUUGGGUUCCCUAAAACACACAACAAUAGAUCAGUAAAUAAAAGAUCGUGCGUGUUCCUCAGACCAAAUCCAUUCGUCUGGAUGUCAAAGAAACAACCGACGAUGUCGCGGUCGAGCGUUGAGGCUAAAUACAGGGUGAUUGUGCACGUAACGGUCGAACUCAAAUGGUUCUGCUCGCUUCUCAGGAAACUCAGAGUCUACUUACAAAAUACUCCGGUCAUCCACACCACAAAAUCGGCAAUUUUCAUGGCUACGAAUCCGAUGAUCCAAGUCAAGACGAGACACUUAGAAAUUGACUACCAUUUUAUCCGGGAAUUCGUCUUCCGAGGAGAUAUUCGUCUCAACUUUGUCAAAUCGGAAGACCAAACGACCGACAUGUUCACGAAAGCCUUACCGGCGUUACACUUCCAACGUCACCGGCAACAUCUAUGACUCACCGGCGUCGAGGGGGGUGUCAAGGAGAAAAACAUAAAUAACCCCAUAAGAGUCAGUCAGCAAAACAUAAAUCUUAUAAGAACAAACAGAGAAAUAACCCCAUAAGGGUUGGUAAACAAAUAACCCAAUAAUAAUCAUAUAUAAAUGAUCAAUGUAACAGUUUAUAAUCUACGAAAAUGUAUUACAGUUUUUCUCCGAUCACCCUCUUUCUCCGAUCUUCCGUUCUUCAACUUAUCCAACUCUCAACAGUCUUCAUCAGUGACCCAAACACCAAUGUCAAAUCUGGCGGUGGUGGUGCAACGACGGGACUAGUUGGUGGCGUGCAGUACCGGACCAUUGUGAGGUGCGGUACCUCGCUGUCGUCCAUCAGAUGUGAUUUGCGGUCCAUCCGGUGAUGGACCGCACCCAAUUUUCAGGUGCGGCGAACCGUACCUUGUGGUUUAGAUGAUAGUAGCGCGUGGAGUGGACUUAAAAUGAUUAAUAUGAUUCUUGGAACGACAGAGAAUAAGCUGCAAUAGAGGAGCAGUAUAUUCCAGUAGAGAGAUUUGUGUAAGGUAUAUCGACAGGAUUCCCAACGGGAGAAUGAGUUUUAGGAUUCAAAUAGUAGCAUAGCUAGUGAUUCAUGAGUUAUGUGAGAGUAUUGAUAGGGAUUCAUACAACGAUCUAGAAUACGUAUGUGAGAGUUAUGCGAAAGUUAUGUACUUAUGCGAGUUUCAGAAACUUUUUUUUUUAACAAAAAAAAAUAAUUCCAGAAACUAAAAUUGAGAAGAAACAAAAUUAAAAAAACUUGAUAAAAUCAAUCAAAUAAAAAUAACGUAGUCGAUAGAAUUUGAAACAAAAUUGAUUAAAAUCAAUGAAAUCAAGAAAAAAUCAAGAAAUCAAUGAAAUCAAGAAAAAAUAGUAGAUGAUCAAUGAAAUCAAUGGAGAAAAAAAAUUAUAUGGAAAAUAAAAAUAAAUUGCAAACCACAAUUGCUCCAAACCCUCCAUGAAUGUUCCUUGGAAAUCUACAAUCCAAUUUGCAAAUCACGCCAUUGGAUAUCGAUUCCAAAUCUGCAUCACUUGUCGUCUGCAAAUUGAUUUGGAGAACUGUAAAUCCCAAAUCACGUCUUCCGUCUUCAAUAAAACGGAAAUCAGAAAUUAGCAGAAAUCGAGCAACAGUGACAGAAAAUCGCGUCUGGAUCAAUUGAUCCGAAAUCAUUCUACGUUCUAGCAGAAAUCAAUUGAUCUGAAAAUCACGUCUUCUAGCAGAAAUCACGGCUUCCGUAUUCUGUUGAAAUCUGAAAUCGGAAGAAACCGUAGGAAAGAGAAAGCACGUCGUCGUCGGAAGUGAAUGGAGGUGGAUCGAAGAAUGGAGGCGGCGUCAAUUUCACCUUCACAGAAGAGAUACCAUCUUAGAAUCUCAAACGUUCUGCAAAGAUGAAUUUAAUCUCGAAAUGUAUAUUGCAUCAAUGAAUUGUAUUGUCAACUACAACUCUCUCUAUAUAGGACUCUUGCUAACCACUUAUCCUAACCAACCCUAACUAAUAUUCUAUUUAACAAGGUCAUGCUAUGAGUAGGACGAAAAGAAUAUGUCAAUAUUUACAGAGGUAGAUUUGGAAGGAAAAUAUGCGUGGUAAUGCAAUGGGGAGUAGAAUCGUAUAUUUAAUAACACGUUGGUAUGAAAAAGAUAUAAAACUAUUUCGACG
rnacentral:lncRNA from 1 species